AGCUCCUUUUCCUACUUGUCUCGGUGCCUGAUCACCGUCCGCUCUCCUUUGCACUUCACUUACAUUCAUAAUUUUUUCUCUUUUUCUUUUUGCGUUGAAUCAUUUUCCAGCUGUAUCCCACAAAUUCUCACAUUCAUAAUGUGAAAGCAGUUCAGAGUGCUGAAUGAAGAGUAGGAAAUGGGAUGGGUAGGAGGAAAAACGUGGUUUGGGAGGAAACGCUAAGAGGAGAGAAGUGACUGGGAUAGCGGAGAGGAGGAAGGACCCGGAGCAAUGAGAGAAAGAGCCAAACGUGGGAUCAACGAAACCGCGGGAAAAGAAGAAGGAAUGACCAGGUACUCUUGCUUUUCUGUUUUAACCCUCUAGUUCUGUUUUUCUCCUUAGUCACCAUCUCUUUCUGUCCAUCCCUAUCUUUCAACUUUAAGUCUCUGUUCCUACUAUUUCUUGUUCACUUUUUGAAAUCACCUUCAAAAGGCACUUAUUUUUCCUUUCUUUUUAUCUAUUUCUGUCUCCUGCAUUUUAAUCUUCUUGAAAACCAGUGGUUCACUCUGGAUUGUCUUGUUUCCUAUUUUGCGAGGCUGAUAUCGAGGAUGAGCAUUCAGGCAUCGGCGGAGGACAGAAUCAAAGCAUGUGUGAGAUAUCACAGUUCUUAUUCAGCUGGAAGAAAUGGCAGUUACAUAAAGAAUGCUGUGGAACUACAGUUUGCAAUCCUCCAUGUUAUUCCUUCCCCAAGACUGGAAUGAUGGAAAGAAUUUCAGCAUGUACGGUAAUAUUGAAAAUCACCUUCUUUCUCAUUCUUUGCUUUUAUAUCUUGACCUCUCUCUCAUACAUUAUGACUGAAGGGGAUUUCCAGCAUUUCAUGUUUCUUUGAUGUUUAGAAAUAAUGAUUUGAAUAUUGGAGAAACGAAAUCUGUUAAAACAUGGUCAUAUUCCACCACAAGAUCAGAGAGAAAAACAAAAUGACAUAAUAUAUGAAAAUGAAGUCUAUUUUUUGUCAAUUUUCAUUACAAUUAAACUCCAAAUUUUUAGGAUGUUUGACUUAUAAAAGUUUCCAUUAUUUUCAGUAAUGAUACUUUUAAGUACUCUAAUAGCGUGCUGUAGGGGUGGGUGCUCAGGAGUAUUGAACUGAGUUAUUUUUGCUGCUUUAAAAUGACCAUCUUUUAAAGUAUCCUCAUAAAAACAUUAAUUUAGGUCUUAAAGGUGCAAUAGGUGAUUGUCUCCAGAAACAUUUUUUGUUAUGCUUGUUGAAAGUCCAUGAAUAUAUGUAUUCAUAUAUUCUGUGGAAGGUGCAGGACCAAACGAAAAUGCUCUGCAGACAGAGCGAGAAUGGCAGGUAAACAUCAACAACCUGAUCUUCCUUCCUGGUAUUGUAGUAAUUUUACUAAAUGUGCUAUAAAGUGUUCUUACCGGUGGAUAACACAUGAUGUAUUGUAGUAAUGUUGUCUCUGAUCGUCUGAUAUGCGUUCAGGAGGCGUGGCUUUGGACGGCGAUUUGCAGGGAGGGUGGGAUGUUCACUUUCAGUGCUAUCAAAGCUAAAGUAAGCAUUUUCCAAGAUCUCCUACUGCACCUUUAAGUGAAAGGUGUCUUCAUUGAGUUAGUGUUAUUAUUGUUUUUUGAAUUGAAGCUAGUAUUAGUUUUUGGUGUGAAAUUUGAAAAGAGCUUAUUUAAAGCAUAAAUAACUAUAUUGUGAUAUAUAUUGUUAAUAGCUAUAUCGUGAUAUAAGAUUUUGGUCAUAUCGCCCACCACUACUGUGCUGUAAUACAAAUAUUUUUAUUGCAUAAACAGUUCUGCAAAUAAUAUACCAUGAUGUUUCUUUCCUGCAUAAAAAAGAUUUUUUGCAUUUAAAUGAAUGAAAAUAAAGUAAUUGUGCAAAAUGUCUCCA
ensembl:lncRNA